rnacentral:ncRNA from 1 species
CGGUAGACGCUACGGACUUAAUUGAAUUGAGCCUUGGUAUGGAAACCUACUAAGUGAGAACUUUCAAAUUCAGAGAAACCCUGGAAUUAAAAAUGGGCAAUCCUGAGCCAAAUCCUGUUUUACAAAAAUAAACAAAGGUUCAGAAAGAAUUUAAAUAAAAAAAGGGAUAGGUGCAGAGACUCAAUGGAAGCUGUUCUAACAAAUGGGGUUUGACUACCUUUGCCUUAGUAAAGAAAUCCUUAGUUUGAUAAAUCUUUUGAACAACUAGUUAAUUGGACGAGAAUAAAGAUAGAGUCCCGUUCUACAUGUCAAUACUGACAUACAAUGAAAUUUAUAGUAAAAGGAAAAUCCGUCGACUUUUAAAAUCGUGAGGGUUCAAGUCCCUCUAUCCCCAACGGUGGUUCAAGUCCCUCUAUCCCCA